rnacentral:lncRNA from 1 species
UUGCAUUUUAGUGUCUGCAUACGUUUGAUAAUCUUCCUUGUAUCAAGCAUGAAGAUUUCGAUGCUGGAUUUCUGCCUAUGUUCCUUUAUGUCCCAUUUUGUGGGUGCUUUUUUUUUUUUUGUUGAAUUUGUACCUCGGUAUUUAGACUCUUAGUUAUGUGUUCUGACUAUUGAAUAUUGAUAACCAUAAGUAGCCUGAUUGGAGUUGGGAAGAAACUCCUGUAAAUAUUUAGAAGGAGUUGGGUUUUCUAAAUAUUUCUAAUUUCAGGUGGAGCAGGCUGGACGACGCUGAAGUAGUCAUCUUCGUCGGCCCCGUCACUGCGUACGCAUACUCCUUCAAUUUUUCCCUCCUACUGGUACAUAUUCUUCCCAAGUUCCACUCCAUUGCUAAUUCUGAAAUUUUGUUUGCUUAAUUCGAAUCUGAAUUUAUUUUCCUUGAUUAGAUAUCUAACAUUGCAUUCUAAUUAUUUCAUGUUGCUGCUUGCAUCACUUUUUCAGGUGUUGUGAUCUGGAGAAGCUCAAGUAGCCAUCUUCGUCCAUCACGUCACUGCAUACGCAUACGCCUCUAAUUUUUGACUCCUGGUACAUACUCUUCCCAACUUCCCCUUGGUGGCUAAUUCUGUAUUUUUUUGCUUAAUUCAAAUCUGAAUUAAUAAUUCAGAUUUUUUGUUUCCUUGAUUGAAAUCUGAAUUAAAUUUUGCUUCAUUGCUAUGUAACACUGCCUUCUAAUCCGAAAAAUCUGACAGAUAUCACAACACUCAUAUGCUUAUAAAGCACAUGUUCCAUAAUAACUAGAUGAACUACAUACAUGCUCUCCUUUUUAUUGAUUAGUUGGUUUAGCCCCUAAACUAUCUUAUAUUAUCUAAAAGAAGGCUGGCAUAAUUAGUUUUCCUGCAAUUUUUGUUAGUUCUCUGUAUUGUUUUUGUUGAUUUUUUAUCUAUUCUUCUAUAUCCACUCAUACAGUAGCAGUACGUAUGUACAUUAUUUUGGAAUGCAGCUCAAAGGAAUAGGAACGUUUCCCGCAAAAAAAAGGAAUAGGACUGUGCUCCUCCCAAAAGACAAAAGCAAGAGUAAGUAUUGCUUCUCACAUCCUAUAGAAAAAAUAAUCUCACAAAUCACUUUCUCCCUUGAAAUAUUUACGGUAGCAAAUAUUCAUCUAAUGCAGCAAUGCAGACAAUAAAAAUCCAGCACCAACAAUGAAUAGCCGGAGUAAACAAAACAAGCAGACCAAAUCGUGUCGGCCCUCGAGGAAGGGUUGCAGUGUCGAGGAGCAGCAGGCAUGUAAAUCUGACUGCAAUUCAUGUAUGUCUCUUCCUAUUUAUCUGUUGUUCAACUGUGUUAUUUGUUUACUACGACAGAUUUGAGUAAUUGUCGGUCAUGUAGCUAAUGUAGGCGCAGCUUCAUGAACGUCUGCCAAGGUUCUUAGUGAGGGCUUCCUCUAAGAUGCUUUCAGAUUUUUUAUUAUCUAGCAUAUAUAUGCAGUGAAGAUGUCUCUGAAUAGGAUACAUGGUGUUCAUGUUCUGUUAGAUAAUUUUAUUCUUGUGUAGUUUGAUUUAAAAGAUGAUAGGUCAGAAUGACAGAAUGUGAUUAGUUUUGCUUUUGCUGCUGCUACACAUGAUUUUACUUUUGUUUUUGAUUGUUUCUUCUUCAGUUUCUUAAGGCUAGAACACUACAGUGAUUGAUUAUGCACCUGAAGGAUUAAUGAAGCUGCUUGGACUGAAUUUCUCUUUAAAAUACAUGGUGCUUGUUUGGGAUGAUUGGGCAAAAAUAGUUGGGAAUUGGUUUUUUAUUAUAUGCAAAGCUUCAAGCCUUGGGGUCUUGCUGACAUUAGUUGUUUCAAGUUCAGACCUUUUUCACCGCUGACUAUACUCUCUCAAGUUCAGGUCACGGUGGAUGGUUUGAGAGGAGGGAGGCAGAGCAGAGACAAACGGCGCAUUCCGUCAUGCAUGUGUGUGGAUUUGUAUCAUCCUACUACUGUGUUGCUUUGUUUUACAGUAAUAAAUAAAGAGAUGAAUCAGAUUUUCUUUGGUUCGUUAGCAAAAUUUUACACAUCAAGUAUUUGAUCUCAGAUCUUCUAUUUCGGUUUGGUAUAUGAGCCUUUUGCCCAUAGACUAACAUGUCCCUUAACCUGUCUGCUUGGUGAUACUUUUCUGUAUCAGCAAGUAGUUACGGAUUGAACAACCAGUUACUGAUUAUGCCUUAUCUCAAUGCAUACUAACUUUCUAUGAGUACCUGGUUUGCUGCAGCCCUUUUGCCCAUAGACUAAUAUAUGCACUUUCUUUUAGAAUUGAGCAUACCCUGCUUGUCAUUAGCACUCUCGUUACAACAUCUACAUCUCUCUUUACAC